UCCCGAGUUACAUAGGGUUAUGCUUAGUGACACCAACAGAGGCAUGGUUACAGUAGCGUAGUUGGCAGGAUCCACAGAACGAAGUCAGUUAAGCUUUGGAUCAGAACCCCACACCUAUUCAAAAUUUGAAUGUUGAUAUUAAGAGUUUUAAAUGUUAAAGAUCAAUGACCAUUAGCCAGAAGGCAUCAGCAGAAGCCAUCAAACUACAAGCCCUGAGAGAGAGCCUGUGUCUUGAACAUGAACAAAGACUGGUAGAACUUUGACUGCAAGAGAAGCAAGCCUUGGCCCAGCUGGAAAAAGAAGCUGAAAAGAGAACCAAGCAAGCUGAAGAGAGAGCCAAAGCAGCUUAGAGGAGGCAAAUAGAAGUUCUGCAAGCUAAGACAGAAGUGGACAAACUGAAGCUCCAAAUCAAAAAAGCAAUGGAAGAACAGCAGAAACGGUAUCGUCUUGGAAGUCCAGUUUAUAACAUGUUGGGAAGGAGCAAUAGGGGUGUGUACUGUUCUGCAUAAUACACCCUCUCUUCUUGCUGAGGGAGGGAGCUAGGAGGCUGAAAUCUCUAACAUAAUAACUGACUCCAUGGCAAGAGUCUUGGUUGUCAAAAAAACCGUACAACUCAGCUAAUGCCCUCCUACUGUAGAGCCAAAGGUAGGUGGAAAACUCUGUGGAAGCCAUGAAGAUUACAAUGACUGGUGGGGGAAGGCAAGGUUUGGUCCUUGCAGAGCAGACAAGGGCAUAGCUCUCCCAGUGCAGAGAUGUCUGGAAAAUCUCUGGGAAUAUUCCAUGUAUCUUUGGUCACUCACUGAGGGUCAAGAUAUUCAAGUGGAUGUCCAGUGCAUCCAUGCUGCUCCCUAAAUACCCACAGAGACUAAGGAUGCCAUAGGCUUUUCAACAACUUAUGCCAACAUGUUUGGGUUGGCGAUGGAGAAUGACGACAAAGAAGAAUCCACAUGACAGAAUGCAGACAUCAGUUUGCACAAAAAAGUCCCUGUGGGUUUGCAGGAGGAUAAUAGCAAAGAGAAUGGCUCUGUCCAGCUCUGCUCCUCCUUUUCCCAGCCACUCCCCUAAGAUGAUAGCGCCUCAAACAUAACAGUGUUCAUGUGGAGGUGCUUCUGCAGGAUUGAGGGAGAAUGAAACCAUGAUGUAUUACCCCUUCCUCCCUCUAACCGAAUCUUGGCCAUUCCCUCCACAGCAAAAAGAGAAAUGACAACUAGGCCCCUCUGAUUUUACUGAAGGGCAAAGGGAACACAGAACAUUAUGGGAAAACAAUCUGGUUUUCAUACACAUGGCCAUUUUUGCCAUCCUUAUUUAGAGUCUUUUAAAAAUACCUUUGUUUUUGUACAAGAUCAAGAAUUUUUCACCCGUACCUUAGUGUGCAAGGGAGUGUGUGUAUGUAUAUAAUGUUUCCCUCACAACUCCUACCAGGAUACUUGUAAAAAUAAAUUGUUUUGUUCCAGAAUU